rnacentral:lncRNA from 1 species
UUCAGGGUGUGUUCUGAGAGGAACACCCACAACUCGAGCUUGCGCCAUGUCUUCACUUCUUUCGCUGAUCGUGGACAAGGUCGUGGAAGUCCGAGAGUGGGUGCAGGCUAAAUUUCUCACACAGAAGGAAGAAGCCAGAGAGGGUUCACUUGUUUCGCUGAUCAUGGACAAGGUCAUGAAAGUCCCAGAGCAGGUGGGGGCUGAAUUUCUCGCACAGAAGCCUAUGUCAGCCUGAAGUUUCUGCUCCAAAGAAUUAUUUGGAGGAAGGAGAAAGAAUCGGGGACAUGGAGACACCUUGGCCAGCAUCUGGGUAAGGCCCCAGGUGAAUAUUCUGAGGCUCCUUUGAAACAGGAGGGGAAAGGGCAGGGCACAACCUUUGACAUAUCCCGAGGGCACAACAUAAAUGAAUUAAAAUCAAACGGGUCCAAGAUGGCCGACAAGUCAACUUGACUAGACCUUGAUCCUUGGUAUAACUCAUUGUAACACAUCAGCAAGCUAAAUGGCACACUCAAGGUGCCGUGACAGUUCCGAGGUCAACCAUCAAAGACCAAAAAGUGGGCCAUGGUCGAACUCCUGGAAAUCCCCUCCCCUUCCUCAAAACUGUUGGAAUAAUCCUCCCACUUAGUAGUCUAUGAAAUUACCCAGCCCAUAAAAACUAACCACACCACGUUUCCAGGC